GAUUCUUCCGCGGUGAAUUGUCUUUCAAAAGAUUCGUAACAUUAAUUGUUGCGAAGCUAAGGUAAAUUUAAACGAUUAAAUCGUACGUCUUUUGUACUCGCUCUGUGAUACCAUAAGGCAUGACGUUUGAAGGCCAGUAUUUAAGUUUAAUUAUGCGAUUUAGAUAUGUAUGUAUAUAUUCAGCAUCGAAGAAGUAAUAUUUACAUGGUGUGUUAUUACUUUAAUUUUCGCUCGUGCACUUGUAGAUGAUCUCGUGCAGAUUUAAAAAAAAUUGUAUUUUUCGAGGAAAUGAUUAAGAACAAGGACAGAAUUAUUUUCUAAUGUCUUAAAAUUUAUCAGGGUUACAUUAUACGAUAUAAUACGUAUUGGUGCCCCGAAUUUACUCAUAAUACGUACACCCGUAACUAAAUUUUCUACGGUGUUUGAUAAUUGCUUCCGAAACAAACAAAACUUACUAUAAAUUAUUUAUUUUAAUUUUGUAUCAUAAAAGAAGCAGAAAGAAAUAUAUUAAUUAAUGGGAGAAUUUUAAGGGACGUUUAAGACCGUUACGUUAAAACUUAAAGAUCAUUAUUACACGUGUGCUAAAUGAUUACUACAAUUGUUUCAUGUACUAAUAUUAUUACGAGUAAACAUUCCAACAUUUAUCUGACGAUGCAAAUGUAAAACCUUACUUUUCGGUAGUUAAAACGUAAUUAAAAAAAAAAAAAUUGUUUUACCGGUAAUAAUUUACUGGUAACAAUCAUAAUUAAUUCCAUAUAAUUUGAUUUUGAUCGCUGUACUUGGGCAUAGAUAGUAAGUCUGACAAUAAUGAUAAAAUAGCGAUUAAAUAGUGUUUUGUUGAUAGUAGCAUCUCCUGCCAGUAACAAGAUAAAGCGUAUCUUUUUUGCUUGUUAUCGAUUACUCUUAAAUAAAUAUAGCUGUAUUUUUUUUUUCAACUUCAGUGAGUAAAAUAAAACUAUUGUCAGGCUAUGAAGAAUUUUUAUUAAUGUUUAUGGCUACAUACAGUAUAAUCAGCACAUAAUGCGGUAUUCGUGUAUGAUUUCUAGUGCUGCAGCAAAAAAGUUGCGACAGACCUCGUAUAACGUGUUUUAUGUGUAAUACCUACAACGCGAUAGAUAAGCGCGUAUUUCCCCAGUAAGCGUACUACACAGUCUUCAAACUCUCUCUCUCUCUCUAACUCAUAUCGUUCUUAUUUGUAUGAGAACGAAGUUUCUCGUGUAGAGCGAUCUGAUACAAUUCUGUAUAUAAAUACGUAUUUAUGCAACACCGCACAGACACCCCCUCUUUUCUUCCUCUCUCUCUUUAAACUGUAUCCUCCUUGUUAAAUCUCGAGUCUCGUAUAACGCAAAUUGUAUCACCCCGUUUACAAUGUCCUACUAGAUUUGUCUUUUAAACAUCUACGCAUUUAGAUAUCAGCUGAUCGUAAGUGCGACACAUACUUUAAAUUUCUGGUCAUGUUACACCGUUGUAACUAGUCUUCAAGCUUCUUCAUUUACACUAUACAUAUCUUUAUAUCCUAUUAAUUAAAUACAAGGUGUCCCAAAAAUGUUGUAACACCUUGAAAGGGUCGGUUCGGGAGGUGAUUUGAAACAACUUUUUCCUUAGCGAAAAUGUUGUCAGAGGUUUCGUUAAGGAGAUAUUAAGCGAAAACCCCGACCAAUCAGAGCGCGAGUAUGCCGGUGGAGCGCAGGCUACGCGCUAGGCGGCUGCGCUCAUACGCUACUGCGGCCGCUCCACCGGCAUACUCGCGCUCUGAUUGGUCAAUGUUUUCCGUUAAUAUCUCCUCAACGAAGCCUCGGACAACAUUUUCGCUAAGGAAAAAGUUGUUUCAAAUCACCUCCCGAACCACCACUUUCAAGGUGUUACAACAUUUUUGGGACACCCUGUAUAUCAUCGAAAGUCUGUUUCGGACUUUGUAUUUAUCAGGCUUCUGUAUAUGUCUAGUAGGAAAUGUUUUAUUAACCCUUUGCGCUCGAGGCAUUUUUCUACAGAAUCAAAUCCAGUCCGUUUUUAUGUAUAAUAAAUUUCUGUAAAACCAAAAACAUCUACAAACAUCCAUGACUCAAUGUAUUACUUCAAUUAAUAAUUAACCGUAUUCUGAUACAAGUAAAAUUAAAAUUGUACGUUCAAAAAAUCACUUUUAAAUUACAUAUGUCGCCCUGGAGGCGCCACUCGAGCGCAAAGGGUUAAAACUGCGCGUUGCGCUAGUUUUAAUAAGGGCUUGCUGAUUCUUUCCUCUAAAUUUAUUUCAUACCAUAAUACUUUGCAAUUCAAUGGAAACAUUCUCAUAGACAAUUAAGAAAAUAUAAAAGCUUUUCGUUACUCGUCCGUUUAUUUCCUUAAAAUUAAACGGAAAAUUUCAGUUCCAUGAUAUCGCGAAACAAGACAUGAACGGAUACAUAAAAUUUGUACAAAAUGCGACGGAUUAUUUCAGCUUGCGUCUCUUUCCAACACAAUAUCUGAGAGUUCAGGGUAAUACAGCGUAUCUGAAUCUACCAAACUCCUGAUAAUUCAAAGAUAUAUGAGUUGAAACGCAAUACACACCUAUACGUUUCAGACGCGAAAGCCUCAUAUUUUCCUACGCACACAUAACAGGCGAUAUCGGUAUAUCGAUGAAUAUAGUUUUUUUAGCCGAUAAUAUCAACACUAACGUUACGCAUCGACCGAAAUGUUUUGCUUUUACUCGCGCGAAACAAGUAGGGAGCGAUACCACGAAGAUGACACAAUUUACAUGCGUAUCAAAUUCUGACGUUACGAAAAUCUAAAUGCAAAUAGCGGAGAAUCACACGGUGAUUCACGAGAGAAAUAGCGAGAAUAAUUGUAGAUUUUAUUAUACAGAUAAAAAAGAGUUGAAAAUAUUGCAUAUUAGAUUGUAAUAGUAUUAAAUUAUAGAUAUUAAUUGCAACCUGCCUUGCGCCGGUAUACUUGGAAUCAGGCAUCUACAGAUUUUCUUAUGCUUCUGGGGGAUGGUCGUCGGAUACUGUCUUCGAGUUAGCAUGUCGGAAGCUAUCGUCGCAAUGACGCAAGAUGCGGAAACGGAAGGAAGUCACAAUAAUUUUGAGCUGUGACGGCAAGAAAAAAGAAAAGAAAGACUUCUGGAUGUAACGACAUUUACCCGUACCUGGAAACGGAACGUGGAAAAAUGAGGAUCACCUGGUUUGAGGGCCGAGCACAUAGGAGGAUAGAAUGUGUCGCGGGCAAGGUCAGAUGGACUUUUAACAAGCAGUUUCUGUAGCAGGUCUCCUAUGUCGCCUUGGAGUCCACGAUUCCAUGUGAGUUAUAAACAAAAUUUGUUAUACGCACGGAUUCGAACUUGAAACUUUAAACGCGUUUUUUCUCGGUAUAUCAAAACAAGAUCGACACUGUGUACACGAUAUCUCAAUAAAUGUUUCAUCGAUCGAUUUUAAAUUUUGAAGGCUUAUUCGACACAUAGAUUGCUGAACGAAGAGAGGAAUUUGUUUUUCGCUGAAAACUUGCUCUUUCGUCACAGAAAAAUCAUGAAAGUUGAAAAAUGGGAUUUUUCAGGAAAAUCACCGGUAUUUUAGUAAAAAUCAUAACUUCGAAGAAUCCGUCGUUCAUUCGGUAGACAUUGACGUUUAACAGAAUAAUUGUUUAGUAUGUUUUAGAUGAGACGUUCUUAAAUUAUCGUGUACACCGAGAAAAGACGUUUUUAGAGAUUUGCUGUAUUUUUAACCACUUUUAAAUAUAUCUUAACGACAAAACUUGUAUAUUAAGCGCGAUACUUGUAGUGUAAAAUUAAGUUUUAUUUUAAAUAAAAAUAUGUAUUCAAAUUUUUGUCAAAAACUCUUGAAAUGAUUAUAGACGUGAAGUAUAGAAUCACUUAUAAAUGUAUACAAUCAUCAAUCAUUUGACAUAUAUAUGAAAUAUUCAUUGUUGUUGAAGACUUAUUUACCUUUACCAGCCAUUAUACGGAAUCUCCAAUUAAAAUUACCAUACAAAAUAUAUUCAUACCGAAAUUGCAUCGUUUCGAGGG